rnacentral:rRNA from 1 species
UACGUAGGGAGCGAGCGUUGUCCGGAUUCAUUGGGCGUAAAGAGCUCGUAGGCGGCUUGGCAAGUCGGGUGUGAAAACUCCAGCUCAACCUGGAGACGCCACCCGAUACUGCCAUGGCUAGAGUCCGGUAGGGGACCACGGAAUUCCUGGUGUAGCGGUGAAAUGCGCAGAUAUCAGGAGGAACACCGGUGGCGAAGGCGGUGGUCUGGGCCGGAACUGACGCUGAGGAGCGAAAGCGUGGGAGC